CCUACGGGUGGCAGCAGUGGGGAAUUUUGGACAAUGGGGGCAACCCUGAUCCAGCCAUGCCGCGUGAGUGAAGAAGGCCUUCGGGUUGUAAAGCUCUUUCGUCCGGAACGAAAUUGCAGCGUCUAAUAAACGCUGUAGAUGACGGUACCGGAAGAAGAAGCACCGGCUAACUACGUGCCAGCAGCCGCGGUAAUACGUAGGGUGCGAGCGUUAAUCGGAAUUACUGGGCGUAAAGCGUGCGCAGGCGGUCGUGUAAGACAGGUGUGAAAUCCCCGGGCUCAACCUGGGAACUGCGCUUGUGACUGCACGGCUAGAGUACGGCAGAGGGGGGUGGAAUUCCUGGUGUAGCAGUGAAAUGCGUAGAGAUCAGGAGGAACACCGAUGGCGAAGGCAGCCCCCUGGGCCGAUACUGACGCUCAUGCACGAAAGCGUGGGGAGCAAACAGGAUUAGAUACCCUAGUAGUC
rnacentral:rRNA from 1 species